AAAUUGAAGAGUUUGAUCAUGGCUCAGAUUGAACGCUGGCGGCAGGCCUAACACAUGCAAGUCGAACGGUAGCACAGAGAGCUUGCUCUCGGGUGACGAGUGGCGGACGGGUGAGUAAUGUCUGGGAAACUGCCUGAUGGAGGGGGAUAACUACUGGAAACGGUAGCUAAUACCGCAUAAUGUCGCAAGACCAAAGAGGGGGACCUUCGGGCCUCUUGCCAUCAGAUGUGCCCAGAUGGGAUUAGCUAGUAGGUGGGGUAACGGCUCACCUAGGCGACGAUCCCUAGCUGGUCUGAGAGGAUGACCAGCCACACUGGAACUGAGACACGGUCCAGACUCCUACGGGAGGCAGCAGUGGGGAAUAUUGCACAAUGGGCGCAAGCCUGAUGCAGCCAUGCCGCGUGUAUGAAGAAGGCCUUCGGGUUGUAAAGUACUUUCAGCGGGGAGGAAGGCGUUGAGGUUAAUAACCUCAGCGAUUGACGUUACCCGCAGAAGAAGCACCGGCUAACUCCGUGCCAGCAGCCGCGGUAAUACGGAGGGUGCAAGCGUUAAUCGGAAUUACUGGGCGUAAAGCGCACGCAGGCGGUCUGUCAAGUCGGAUGUGAAAUCCCCGGGCUCAACCUGGGAACUGCAUUCGAAACUGGCAGGCUAGAGUCUUGUAGAGGGGGGUAGAAUUCCAGGUGUAGCGGUGAAAUGCGUAGAGAUCUGGAGGAAUACCGGUGGCGAAGGCGGCCCCCUGGACAAAGACUGACGCUCAGGUGCGAAAGCGUGGGGAGCAAACAGGAUUAGAUACCCUGGUAGUCCACGCCGUAAACGAUGUCGACUUGGAGGUUGUGCCCUUGAGGCGUGGCUUCCGGAGCUAACGCGUUAAGUCGACCGCCUGGGGAGUACGGCCGCAAGGUUAAAACUCAAAUGAAUUGACGGGGGCCCGCACAAGCGGUGGAGCAUGUGGUUUAAUUCGAUGCAACGCGAAGAACCUUACCUACUCUUGACAUCCAGAGAACUUAGCAGAGAUGCUUUGGUGCCUUCGGGAACUCUGAGACAGGUGCUGCAUGGCUGUCGUCAGCUCGUGUUGUGAAAUGUUGGGUUAAGUCCCGCAACGAGCGCAACCCUUAUCCUUUGUUGCCAGCGGUCCGGCCGGGAACUCAAAGGAGACUGCCAGUGAUAAACUGGAGGAAGGUGGGGAUGACGUCAAGUCAUCAUGGCCCUUACGAGUAGGGCUACACACGUGCUACAAUGGCGCAUACAAAGAGAAGCGACCUCGCGAGAGCAAGCGGACCUCAUAAAGUGCGUCGUAGUCCGGAUUGGAGUCUGCAACUCGACUCCAUGAAGUCGGAAUCGCUAGUAAUCGUAGAUCAGAAUGCUACGGUGAAUACGUUCCCGGGCCUUGUACACACCGCCCGUCACACCAUGGGAGUGGGUUGCAAAAGAAGUAGGUAGCUUAACCUUCGGGAGGGCGCUUACCACUUUGUGAUUCAUGACUGGGGUGAAGUCGUAACAAGGUAACCGUAGGGGAACCUGCGGUUGGAUCACCUCCUUACCUUAAAGAA
rnacentral:rRNA from 1 species